rnacentral:tRNA from 5 species
GAGCGAUUAGCUCAUAUGGAUAGAGCGACAGCCUCCGGAGCUGUAGGUGGUGGGUUCGAUUCCCGCAUCGCUCA